UUGCAGAGUUAAUGGUAAAGUGUGAUUUAAGGUUCUGCGGAGGCUCCAAGCAGAGCUUUCGCCGUAGCCUACAUAAAUGGCCUGACGUUUAUACUUGUGCGUUGGUGUGUGUGUCGAGCCGGCAGGUUUGUGUGUUGGGAGUGGGUGAUUGAGCGAGGGAACAAGUGAGAGAGUGACGGUGAUUAGCUUCGGAGCUAGUAGCGACUCUAGACUCUAGAGUCAAAGUGAGAGAAACAAAGUGUCUCCCCUGUUCUUUCUGACCAAGGUAGGAAAUCUGUAGCAGGAAAAGUUAACCCGCUCCUUGAUUUUAGGUUGUUUAUGGAGAAGGAGAACCAAGAAAUGAGUCGGGGGAAAUGCAACGAGAGGUGCACGUCUGGCUACGGCGUAGGGUUGUGUCUCCACAUACGUAGCAAGAGCGUAGAUUUUACGCAGAAGUAUAGAUCAAGUUUUAG